rnacentral:rRNA from 1 species
GCACUCUUGCAACUUUCAAUGAGGAAGCCUCAGUACGCAUGAUUCGUUCGGUCAUGUAGACUGUGCCCUUGCCGCCCGUUGCUCCUACCGAGCGAA